CUUAUCAUAAACAUGGAGAAUAAAUGAUAAAUUCUUUCCUUUUUCUAUUUGCUAUACCGUACCGAUUGUUGCUCUAGUAUUUGUAGUAGAUUAUAAAAAAAAGGGGUAAAAUUUCGAUAAGUGUUGGUGCGUCAUUGAGUUGCAUUAAGCGCUCGAACUCCCUGAUUUUCAUAGAAGAAAAGAGGAAAGAACUUUGGUUUGAAGGAAGAAAGGGAAGAUAACGGUCAAAUCCGGGAAGACCCUGGCAGGACUCUUCAAUACGCCAACAUAACAGGCGGAGAGAGAGCAGGAGAGAGAGAGAGGAGUUUAUAUAGAGGCUUCUGCCUCGUCAGUCGUUUCUCGCUCGGCUUAUUCAGCGGUCGUAUCUUAGAUACUGCGCCGCUCACUACCGAAAAACCGUUUUGUGUGUCUCUUCUACUGUGAGUUUUCUGUUAUAUUUUUCAUAAGAUUUAGGCCAACAUUGCAUUUAGUGGUUCAGUGUUACAUGGAUAUUUCCGCCUAAAUUUGAGUCUCUUUAUAGAAGCAAUUAAAUCAUGGAUUGGAAGAAGUGUUCAUGGAUUAAUUAUGUCUCGUUGACGUUAUUAUCUGUGUUGGCAGCCAUACCAGAAUCAAAAUCGGACAAUAGUGUUCACAUAUUCUCAACUUAUCGUCUGCCCGUGACGUCCAGCAUAUUAAACUGGCUACCGAUAAGUCAUUAUGAUUCUUCCAAGAACAAUACCCUUGUCAUCGGUGGAUUCCAAAUUUCCAAAUCAACAGACGAAAACUACAAUGAGGGUCCAUCAGAACAGCGAGAGAUGUACGUUUGUCGUGCAGCUCAAAGUGGUGUGUGGGUGGCUGGUGCACAGUUAAAAGGAGAGAAGAAAUGCACCGUUACCGUUCUAGGGAUUGUACAAGCUGUCGAGAAUUAUGAAUUACUAGAGAAUGUCGAUAACGCUGCUCGACUGAGCUGGGUCAGUUGGAGUAAAUUUUAUCCAAUUCCGACGGGUGCUGUUGUUACCGAAACCAUGUACGUGGCACGCUACCCUGUUACCCGGAACGAGACUGACAAGGAUACCCUAACACCUACCUACACCCACUACAUCGGCACACUGAAUCACGACGAGAAACUAGGAACAAUAGCCUACGUCAAGAGCGAUGGUCAACAAGGAUCUACAAACGCUGGGGAGUUAUUAGUCGAAACAGAGCCAAUUUACUAUGAAUUAACUUCCGUUAAGUUAAAUCACUGGCGUACUCGUAUAAUUAAAAGUGAAUCGAAAAUAAUCGGACAAGCUACAAUUAGUAAUUCGGGGACUGAAGGGGCCAAGCUGGUUGAGAAAUCUGCAUAUGGCUACAAAUAUUCCAGUUACUGGGGACAAGGCCAUGCUAUGAUUAAGGCACUCAACACUUCUAUUACGUUGUUUAAUAGGACCAAGUUACCCACUAUUAAAUGGGGAAUGGAAGAGAGAUCCGAGCGUAUGGAUAGCUAUUCACUGGAGAUUUAUUUGGAGCCUGGGACUGGAGUGAAUGUGAAGGUUAAAGCCAAUUAUACAGAGUAUGAGGUGCCAUACACUGGGCAAUUGGUGUCACACUAUGAAGACGGUGAGAGCAAGUCUAGAGAGAUCAGUGGAAUGCGUAGGGAGGAAACAAUCACAGAUUUGCGGUCAGAAUUUGGACCUAUUUAUUUUCUCAGCAAUUCGAGUAUUGUUCCCACGACGGUAAAACCUCCCACAACGCGCGGAGCCACUACUUUUUCCAGUUCAAGUACAAAUUCCAUUUCUGGCACCUUACUCAUUUCGUCGACCUCCACGAAUAAACAAAAUGAUAUCAACAACGUUAUGGACAGCAGUGAAGAUGGUAAUAGCAUUAUCCCACCGAGACAUGAUUCAAAUAUGCAGAGCGAUGACGGGGGGCCGCAAUCUUUAAAGAAUAAGGAUGCAUUAGGCGCGGCCACCAGUUCGUUACCUUCUCUUUACAUUUCCAUAGCACUAAUCCUGGUGACUCUUUACAGGAUUACGUGAAGCUAUUAUCAAUCAGAAAUUAUAGGAAAUGAAAUUCCAUGUAAACACUCCGAUUAAGAUAUCACUACAUUCCUCAUCCAAUGAAAUAUUUAUUAAAAAAGAUUAUAUAGGUUACUUGCACAGUUCUUUCAAUAUUGUUUCCUCGAGUAUUUCCCUUUUAGACGCGUUGUUUCUCAUUUUUGUUGGAAAGGAAUGAGCAAGUAUAAUAUGACCAAAAAAAAUAUUUCAAAUCUAUUGUGAGAUAUCUCUCACUGAGCUGAGCGACCUCUAUGUGGCUAAUAAAGAUGUUAUCAUUUCCUAAUAAUCAUAGCAAAAUAUGAACGUCAGAAUAUACACGUCACUAACUACUACAAUAAAUAUGCUUGCCUUUCUGAGAUGAGGCAGCUAUUGUCAAGUUUCGAAGCAUUUUAGUUUAAAAAUUGACAAGAGCACACUCACGUUACAUAGCACUUUAAGGAACGAUAUAUUUCUCAACUAGUCUAACUGAACGUCAAGUACAAUGUUAAAGAAAUACGAGGCAAAUUAUAGGUCUCAUGUUCCAUACACUUGUUAAAUUAAACUCUGAUGGAAGUAACCCUUAAUACGAAUGAAUAAAUCGGUAGUUAAGAUUCAAGAAAAACGGGGUUUGCUACAGCGAUUAGAUCGAUAUAAUCCACCAAUACUCUCCUAAUUUCAUGUAGACACUGAUACCAUUUAUCGACGAAUUUGGUGGACCACACGAUAAAUCAUAUGACUGUAUGUCGAGAUAAUAUUUUCUUGGAAUUUAUCGAGCAAAUAAAUGAAUAUGAGAAUGACAUUCAGGAAAAUGAAUGUAGUUGUAAUUUGGGGGAGAGUGCAGCUAUGUUAUAUUUUUGGAAUUGGAAUACAAAGAAGAUGUGUAAUAUUUAUAACAAUUUAACUAUAAGUUUUUUGCCGAGAUACUAUCAGCGCUUGUGAAAUAUUGAAGAUGGAUUGAAUCUUCGCAAUUAUGUUUAUUUCUCAUACUCUAUUCAAUUGAUUAUGUAUUCUACUGUUUUAGCAUUCUUACCGCUGACACUUUAGUUGAAUUGAAUGUUUUUUUGCAUGGUUUUGUUCCAUAAAUUGAAUCGCAUAAUAAAAAUAUAAGAGCAAAAGAGUCAAAAUAAAUUCAUUAGUAAAAAUUAUGGUAAAAUCAAUCAAUCUUGCUUGAAAAUACAUGCUUUUGCAAGAGAUAGGGAUUUUAUAGAGUGAAGCAGGAUUUAUUCGAACGUUUUAAUGGAAAAUUAACAAAUAUUUCAACGUGUAUUCUCUAUGCCUUCUUUAGAAAAUUCGCAAUUCAUCUUCGAAGAAAGAUACUACUAUCUACCUUUUUUAGAAAUAAGCUCUUUCAUACCGGCUUUUUCAAGCGUAGAGCUCGAGGCUUUGAUGACAUAGUCGUUAUGUGAUUAUAGUUUCAUCUUAUUAGCUGUUUUGUUUUUUUUUGUCUCAUUGGAUAUAAUUUGAAUAGAAAGUUUGGAAAAUCAUAAUUUUGAUUUUAAAUAUAUUGCAAGACUUGUCGAGGCCUACGGCACUGGCAUAAUAGAAAACUAAUUUGUUCGCUGAAGGCGAACAGAAGCAAAAUUAACUGAAAUUAUCAUGAAAAUGCCCAACCUGACCUAUUAUUCAAAUGGAGAGCACAAUUAGUUAUAAUUUCCUACCCGGAUAUUAUAAGGUAUUUCCCAAAAGCUGCAUUACUAUCUAGGGUAACUAAACACAAAUACCUGAUUCAUUUUCAAGCCACGAGCGGUACAUAUUCGGCAGAUCAGCUCUUCUAUUUAAAUGGGCAUUUGUGAAAUUUGAGAUUUAAAGAUGUUCGACACCCUUUCAGAUAAAAUUAUUUUAUUAGGUUUUUUAAAUUUUUCUGGCAAAUUAUUAAUAAAAUCGACGUGAAAAAAUAUAGGGUUUUUGCGUUUUGCCAUUAUUUAAUCGCCCACGAAGUUUCACGAUGGCGCGAUCAUUUUCAUACGUUUUCUAUACAAUUUUGUGACUUUUUGUUUAAGUUUAGAAAACACGCAGGAAAAUUGUCACAGCACCGUCAAACUUCGUGAAUCAUUAAAUAACGACCAAACGCAAAAAUGUUAUAUCUUUUGGAGGAAAAGGCCGUAGUACGUCCUUAAAAUUAGACAGCCACCGCUUUUUCAUUAGUAUGAAGAUGAACGAUAUUAUUUGAUCUAUCUUUAAUAAUUGUAUCAGGUUAAAAUCCUAUGGAAGGCUAUGAUUUCUCGUUCUGCAAGAUUCGCGAUAUAUAUUGUAAUGGGACUAGUUAUUGACAGUGCCCUAAUUUCUAACCGUUUAUUAAUAGAAACAAAAUGUCUUAUAAUAGUUGUCACUCCAAAAGAAUUGUUUUUUAUGAAUAGUAUGGACCAUGAGUGAGAUUUUCAUGAAAUAGCGUAACGACUCCAGUCCAUUCAUCCAUUCAUUUGUGACAAUUUUAUUAAAGUACAAGUGCUGAAGAAGAGAGCUAUACGAAGUGUUCCAGUUGUAAGAGGACUCAGGCUCAGGAUUAGGAGCAGAGGGGGAAAAUCACUUGGCGAGAUUAGUUCCCUAUGUGAGUGAAAUGUGAGAAAAUGAAAGAGGACACCAAAUUCAUCAACAAUCGCCCUGGAAGGCGUCGGUAUGAAGUCUUUAUGAGAUAUCAUCCUGAACGUGCUGUUCGAAUUUUCCAAAAUUUGUUACACGGGAAGAACAGAGCUUGAAAAAUCAAGACUUGAAGAAAGAGAAAGCAGAAACAUCGAAAGCCUCAAGUCCCAAAAGUAAUUAAACAAGAACUCAUUACUGAACAAUAAAAUCAUUACUUUAUUUGUGAA